rnacentral:rRNA from 1 species
UACGGAGGGUGCAAGCGUUAAUCGGAAUUACCGGGCGUAAAGCGUGCGCAGGCGGUUUGUUAAGUCCGUUGUGAAAGCCCCGAGCUCAACUUGGGAAUUGCAGUGGAUACUGGCAGGCUGGAGUACGGUAGAGGAAGGUGGAAUUCCCGGUGUAGCAGUGAAAUGCGUAGAUAUCGGGAGGAACACCAGUGGCGAAGGCGGCCUUCUGGACCAGUACUGACGCUCAUGCACGAAAGCGUGGGGAGCAAACAGG